AAUUUGAUUAGCUUUGGUCAAACACCUGUUUGUUUGUUUGUUUUUUUUGCUUCAUUCAGGGUUGCUGUUCAGUGUUUGACAAGCACGGGGAUGUUUUUGUAUCCAUUUUGCAGAAGCAGUGUGAAGGACUUGCUGCAAUGUCGGUCUUUUGUCUCCAUCUACUGGUCAGAAAUUCUCUGCAGUCUAGAAGAUCAGCGUACUGGCUCUGGGAAAAUUCUGGUUCGAGAGAGAUGAGCGUGUAUCUUCCUGAGCGUAAACACGGCAGAAUGUCACAGGAUGAUGAACUGGAUGAUUACCUUGCUCGAGUGCUCUGCUCUGCUCCGGGGUGAAAGAGGUGCGGUUCUUGUGCCGGGCACCUUCAGGUUUCUGGUCAUCAGAGUUCAUCACUUGCUUGUUUACUUCUGCAGCCACAGAGUAAUGAUCUGCAAAAGGUUCAUUGGUUAGCACUUCAGUUUGAUUCCUUUGAUUCCAUAAAAAGAAUUUUUGAAAGUAUGAAUUAGUUAUUAAAAUUGCACCUCCUAGUGUGAACAUGACUUUUUCAGGAAGGGGACAAUAACUUAUAUUGUCCAAAUUAACAGACUCAAGUCAUUUAAUUACACUAUUAAAACAAAUGAGCUUUAAAAAUGUUGACAGUUGGCCCUGUUUAACAUUUUGUUUGAUGUGCAUCUGACUAUUCAUGUGACAUUGAACAUCACAGUGAUAUUAAAAUAGCUGUCUAAGACAGUAAGUCAGAA